rnacentral:rRNA from 1 species
UACGUAGGUGGCAAGCGUUGUCCGGAUUCAUUGGGCGUAAAGAGCGCGCAGGCGGCUUGGUAAGUCGGAUGUGAAAACCCGAGGCUCAACCUCGGGCGUGCAUCCGAAACUGCUCGGCUAGAGGUAGGUAGGGGAGAUCGGAAUUCCUGGUGUAGCGGUGAAAUGCGCAGAUAUCAGGAGGAACACCGGUGGCGAAGGCGGAUCUCUGGGCCGUACCUGACGCUCAGGCGCGAAAGCUAGGGGAGCGAACUGG